rnacentral:rRNA from 1 species
AACGAACGCUGGCGGCAUGCCUAACACAUGCAAGUCGAACGAGACCUUCGGGUCUGGUGGCGCACGGGUGCGUAACGCGUGGGAACCUGCGCUUAGGUUCGGAAUAACUCCCCGAAAUGGGUGCUAAUACCGGGUAAUGUCUUCGGACCAAAGAUUUAUCGCCUUUGGAUGGGGCCGCGUUGGUUUAGCUAGUUGGUAGGGUAAAAGCCUACCAAGGCGACGAGCCGUAGCUGGUCUGAGAGGAUGAUCAGCCAGACUGGGACUGAGACCCGGCCCCGACUCCUAGGGGAGGCAGCAGUGGGGAAUAUAGGACAAUGGGCGAGAGGCUGAUACAGCAAGGCCGCGAGAGUGAUGAAGGCCUUAGGGUUGUAAAGCUCUUUUAACCGGGAUGAUAAUGACAGUACCGGGAGAAUAAGCACCGGCUAACUACGUG